UACGUAGGAUGCAAGCGUUGUCCGGAAUUAUUGGGCGUAAAGAGCGCGCAGGCGGUCAUUCAAGUCAGAUGUGAAAUAUCCGGGCUUAACCCGGAGGGGUCAUUUGAAACUGGGUGACUAGAGUACAGCAGAGGAUAGCGGAAUUCCCGGUGUAGUGGUGAAAUGCGUAGAUAUCGGGAGGAACACCAGUGGCGAAGGCGGCUAUCUGGGCUGACACUGACGCUGAGGCGCGAAGGCUAGGGGAGCAAACAGG
rnacentral:rRNA from 1 species